GUUCCCCGACAGCACUGGCUAAGAUAAGCUUCUCAACAAACCCUGGAGAUGGGUGCCUUCCCUGCAGGAGGGCAUAUGGCUCUGUGAGCUGCGGAUGACUGUGUAUGUGAGUGAGUGAGUAGAAGUGACACUUACUGGGAAUGCCAGGUACUUGGGUUCUAGUCGCAACUCUAAUAAUAAUUGUGUUGAUGCUUUGGGGAACUCCUGAUGAGCACAGUGGGCAAAAGUGCCCUAAACCCAAUGAGUUGUGUUUGUAUGAAUGAGUAGUUCAUCCUAGGAAACCAAUAACAUGACCACAGCUGGUGAAGACAAUUAAACAGAGGUGUGUCUGGGAUACCUACUUCCAUAAGUUAUGCGCGUACCUCAGUUGACAAAGGAAAUAUGGCUGCAGGAGCUUGGCGUGCUCUCCUGUGAUGAAUUAUGGUAAACCUGGAAGAGAAAAAAGACCUGUGAGACAAAUGAGAAAAGAAUUUGGUGUAGGACUUUAAGAAAAUGAUAAAUAAUUGCCCCAACCUUCUCCCUGGCUUACCCAAGGAUCCGGUGAAUGAUUGUUAGCUGUACAGGGGGGUGUAAUAUGGAGGAUUAUAGGAAGUAACUAAAGAACUGAGUUAGGAUAGUGAAAAGAAAGCCCCAAAGGAGUUUCCAGGGUUAGGAGGAAAGGAGGCUGGUAUUUCUGACUAGUCAUUUUUGUCUUUAAUAGAAGCUACAGGAAUAAACACAAAAGAAAGACACACCAGAAGGAUUCUAGGAUGAGAGGAAGUCAGUGGGAAGAUCAUUUCAAGCGGAUAUUGUGGGAUAAAAAGGGGAUCAUGAAACACUAUAUGUGCUGAAAUAGACAUAUGGUAAGUAGGAAAUGCUUCAGGAAAAGUGAAGAGCCAGUUUGGACAGAGGAACUGUAAGUAUGAACCUAAGUAUGACUUUGAGAGGGAAAAGACAAAUUUAGCCAACCACUAAAUUCUUUUCACUAGUAGCUGUUACUUCAGGAACCAACAGAAUGGCAAAGCCACAGAGUUUUAACAUUGAAGGACACAGUCAUGCUUUCUGCCCUUUGUUCAAGGACACAUGAAAAUGGAUUGGAACAUGGCAAAUCUGAAGGCAGAAAAUAGCAUCUGGUAUUCCUUUUCUCAAAAAAAAAAAAAAAAAAAAAGAGAUGCAAUGUAGUAUAGAAACAAAUAUAAAUUUUAUAAUAUUUUCAAGAAUAGCAUUUGGAUGAAAUAUUUUCUGAUUCCUUGAAUAUUUCAGAAUGAUUUUCUUUUUUUACCCAUGAGAGAUAAUCAGUCAUGGAACCAAAUCCUUGCAACACAAUUUUCCUCUUAAAAAUCUCAAAGGCGCCCUUCCUCAGGCAGCAUCUAGUGUAGUGGAAGAAAUAGGUAGGGUAGGUCUGCUUUUGUUCUCUUAUGGGAUUCCUGAUUUUGGUAAGCUCUUAUUUCUUUUUGUUUAUGCCUUAAACAUUUCAUUAAGGCACAUUUAACUGCAAUUCUCAUUUAAUUGGUUUCAUCUGAAGAUUGGGAAGGCCUAUAAACUGGCUUAUUUCAGUAAUUUUCCACUUCACAAACUCUUUUUAAAUAGUAUUUUAACAUUAUUUCUUUUUUAAAAAGAUGUAAUUUUAUUGUGAUAAAAACACAGCGUGAUAUCUAUCAUAACAAAUGUUAGGUGUACAAUGCAUGUACAGGCACAGCAUUGCACAGCACAUCUUUAGAGCUUACUCAUCUUACGAAACUGAAACUUCACACCUGUUGAUUAAUAAUUCCCCACUUCCCCUCCCUCCAGCCCCUGGUAACCGCCAUUCACAUUAUAUCUCCUCUGAAAAUUUUCUGUUUUCUUCUCAGGAAUACCGUAGCCUUUAGGUUGACUUGUCUUCCUCUGACUUUUGUGUCUCACCAUCUGUAGUAGUUUUCGUGUCUGUGUCUUUUUCCUACUGUGUCUGGAAUGCCACCUCAAGUGUGAUCUUCACAUCAUUAGUUCAGCUUCCAAAGUAUGGACUUUUCCUUAGUACCACAAACUUUACUCUUCCAUUUCAUUUUCUAAAAAUCUUGCCUACUAUUUUAUCCCACCUUGUUUUGUCCUUGUAGACAGUUGCCUAUAAAUGGUAGAUACUGUAUUUUUAUAUAAAUUUAUUUAUUUUUAUUUAUUUAUUUUUGGCUGUGUUGGGUCUUCACUGCGGUGCACGGGCUUCUCGUUGCGGUGGCUUCUCUUGUUGCGGAGCACAGGCUCUAGGCACACGGGCUUCAGUAGUUGCAGCAUACGGGCUCAGUAGUUGUGGCUCGCGGGCUCUAGAGCACAGGCUCAGUAGUUGUGGCACGUGGGCUCAGUAGUUGUGGCGCACGGGCCUAUAUGCUCCGCGGCAUGUGGUAUCUUCCCAGGCCAGGGCUCGAACCCGUGUCCCCUGCAUUGGCAGGCAGAUUCUUAACUACUGUGCCACCAGGGAAGUCCUAUAUGCUGUUUUUUGUUUGUUUGUUUUUUAAAAACUUGAGACAGAAUUGUCUUCUUAUUCCUGCAGUGGAUCUUUUUCACAGGAUGGGUCUUUUGCUGAGUCUUCCCAAUACUAUUCCCUUACCUUUAUUUUGUAGUGUUUCUUUACAUAUGCUCUGUAUUGAUUUGAAUUUUAUCUCUGGUGAACAUGAAGGUAUUCAACAGUUAGGUAUUAUAUGAUAAGCACCGUUCUAGGUGCCAAAGGUAUAAUAAAGAACCAAACGCACAAAACUCCUGCCUGCAUGGAGCUUACAUUUUAGGGGGAUAAACAAAUGAGUGGGAAAGGGUAAAUGGCUUCACUCGCCAUUAAUCUGAGAGCAGUAGAACGCUAUCUCAGAAUCACCUGGGUGGCAGGUGGGUGGAAUUCCCAGCCCAGUUCUCACUGUAUCCAAUCGCACAUUUAAUGAAAUGGUUAGACUGAAAUUGGAAGUAAAAACUCUAUAAAACAUACGGCAGCAACGAUACAGCCUUGGGAUCCUUCCAGCAGACCCUAAUGGAAAAGGGGAAAGGCAUUCUCCCUCCUUGUGCCACAGAACACAGCACCUUGGGUACCUGGAGGCUCUAGUGCCUUGGCGUCCAUGCCAGUCAGAAGAAUAACGGCCUCUUCUUUCUGGAGUCUGCAGUGGAGAGCCAGUCCACCAGUCUGCCUCCAGCGGAUGGCUGUCUUUUGCCAAAUACGCCUUAUUGCAAACAUCGUUCUUGGAAUUUUACUUGUCUUAUUUAUAGUCCCCAAAUAACUCCUUGAGGAAACUCUUAUUGUUUCCCUCACUCAGAUACAGAAACCAAGGUGAUAGGCAAUGGCCAAAUUAAUGCUUGGUUUCUUAACGAAUGAGAAUUCUCCUUACAGGUUCCAAGGUAAUAGAAAGAGGACAGGAUUAAGCUUGUUAAAAAUGGGACAGUGCAGAGGGCUGUCCUUUUGUAGCGUCUUAUAGUGAUUAUGCGUCACAUCUUUGAUGUACAGAAUAUUUAUAUCAACCAACUAAUGAUAUAGCUUCUCCUGUCAAGGAAUUCCCGGAUGCUUGGCUACUGUUAUUAAUGGUCUGUGAGUUACGUGACAACUUAAGGUAACAAAGGUACAACAAUGCGUAAUUAACACACGAGGAAGGUCAUUUAUCUUCCCUAGGAAUGGUAUGCCUGAUUCUCCAAACUAUUUAUGAAAUUCUUCCCUAGUGGUUGCAUUCCAAGUCUGUGACUUGGGAAUAGAUUCAAGUGCAGAGGAAAAGGUGGGUGAUAAAUCCUGAUACUAUUAAUUUAUUUCUCCCCCAAAUGAGCCGAUUUUCCAACAUAGCUCAUAAAAUUUCCAAACCCUUCAGGCCUUGGCUGACACGACACCUGCUGGGACACGGCACAGCGCCCCCCAAGUGACCUGGGGCCCCUGCUGCACUGCCCGAGGACACCUGGGGCGAACGUCACCCCCGCCGGCAGCCACGCUCCUCUGCUUGCCCGAUGCGCCCUUGGAAGCCCAGGGCCUGAGGCCUGUCCACCAUUUGUCUUGAGCCUGUAGCUCAAGUCCAGUACAUUUCAGAGGCAGAAGAAGAAGGAGAAAAGAUGAAAAGAAAGACAUGAAGUUAAGAGAAAGCUCAGCAGAUGGCAUCUGGCAAGGUGGCCCCCAAAAUGUGGGGGGCUAUCAAGGGACUCCUACAGCCGCCCCCUGUUUCCCUCCCUGACAAACAGGGCCUAGAAGCCGCUGAACGUUCAGAGUCCCCAGCAGUGUGUGCUGUCUCCCUGAAGAGAGGCAGGGUGUACAACCCUUCACCAGAGGAAGCAGUGAACCUCUCACAGGGAAGAAGGGAGGCAUGCAGCCUUUCACCUCACACAGUUCUGUCUGUCUGUCUGUCUGUCUGAAAAGGGGAGCUGUCUUUCCUCCUCAGAGCGCUUUCUCCCUGUCUGAGAAGCAAGGCCGGCCAUUCGGGGUUCCUCCUCAUAAAGGGCCCUCUCCUCUUCUGAGGCAGAGCGCCGCCAACCUGGCCUUUCUCCUCAGGGCGCGGUCUCGCUCUGAGGUGGAGAACCAGCCAGCGCACUUCCCCUCGGAGAGACCUGCCCCUCCUUCUGAAACUCUCAGCUGCCAUCCCCGCUGAGCUUAUCCUCGAGGAGCGCCCUCUCUGACUGAGGGGAGCCCGGCCCCCCCACCUCUCUCCUCGGGGAGCUCUCUUCCCUGUCCAUUGGGCGCCUCUCCUCCUAGAGGGCUGUCGAAGGAAAAUGGCCCAUCCUCUGGCGUUUCUUUCUUUUCUUUUUUUUUUAAAUUUAUUUAUUUAUUUAUUUUUGGCUGCUUUGGGUCUUCGUUGCUGCGUGCCAGCUUUCUCUAGUUGUGGCAAGCGGGGCUACUCUUCAUUGUGGUGCGCGUGCUUCUCAUCGCGGUGGCUUCUCUUGUUGCGGAGCAUGGGCUCUAGGUGCGCGGGCUUCAGUAGUUGUGGCAUGUGGGAUCAGUAGUUGUAGCACGCAGGCUCAGUAGUUGUGGCUCGCAGACUCUAGAGCACAGGCUCAGUAGUUGUGGCACACGGGUUUAGUGGCUCCGCGGCAUGUGGGAUCUUCCCGGACCAGGGCUCGAACCCGUGUCCCCUGCAUUGGCAGGUGGAUUCUUAACCACCGCGCCACCACGGAAGCCCUGGUGUUUCUAUUUUAUUGUGACCUCUGUCUGUCUGAGAACAAGAGCAGGCCACCAGGCCUUGUCUUCAAAGAGAGCUGCUGACCUCUCUGAGGUCAAGGCCCAGGAUCCCACGUUUCUCCUCAGGGAAUGCUCUCUCUGUCUGAAACGGGGUGUCGCCCACCUGGCGUCUCUCCUCGUACAGCACUAUCUUUCUGGGUACAAACGCGGGCCCCCGAGUGAGGUUUGCCCUCUAGACUACGCCUCCCUCUCUGACGUGAAGUGCAUCAUAUGACAUGUCUCCUCCGAGAGCGCUGUCUCUGUCUCUGAGGAGGAGGGCUAGCCUUCCUUCUCACAGAUUGUUAGUGGGUCUGUGGGAUCAUGUGGUGAACUGACCAGCGUUCACUGCAGCUCCUCUCUGUCUGCCACUCCUUCGGAGCCUUACUUAGUGGGGGGAUGUGGUGAUGGCCAGCGUCAUGUUACUGCAGGGAAAAGACAGUGAAGCUGCUGGAGAGGAUGCAACGGAACCACGAUUCUCUACCUGAGGCCAUGGUUCUCAGCUCUGGAUGCACAAUAGCUACGCUCAGGUCCCUUUACAGAAUUAGCUAAGGAUCCACCCGACUCAAUCAGUCAGAUCCCUACAGGUGGUGCCUUGGGCGCCAUAUGUAAUUCUUAAAUGCUGCCAAGAUGGCACUGAGAACCACAGGGCUAAAGGAGACAGUUUCUGAAGGGUGAAGACGCUCAUCUGGCUUCGAGACACGAGCUUGGGCUGGUAGCUGCCCCGUCUCUGCUUCCUCAGCUCCCUCCCUGGAACGACACAGUGACAACAAUAAAGUGAAAUGUGCAGCUUUUCCAGUUUUUCAUGGUGCUCGCCUGGAACUGCACCACACCUAGCAUCAAACAUCACACCUGAACAUCCUGUUCCGUGAAUCACCACGGCUCCGCCAACAGCUGGUCGGGCAAAGGUGAAGCCAGAGAGCCCCAGGCUGGUUCACUGAGAGACUUCACACCCCUGGUGCCUGGCUCGUCCUUCCCCUUUCCUCCCCGUGAUUCUGGCAUCUGCUCAUGUGGAGGGAAGACACCAUGAGUCUUGGGAAAGGAAUUUGCUGGAGAGGCAGCUCUUCAUGAAAAGAAAGAUGAAGAAGCACCGUGAUGACAGAAAGCUUUGUUCCAGGAUCUCCCACUCCAGCAAUUUUCCUCUCCAGGGGCCAGCGCCCACCCUGACCACCCCACGGAGGGCAAGGGUCUCGUGGGUACCCGGUCCUCCCUUCCCUUUGCUGCCCGCUUCCUGGUAGCAUAGUGAUGCACGCCUCUACAGGCCCCCAACCCCUGCUCUGGGAGCAGCUUUUCAGCGCUCCAUCCAACCAACUGCCGAAGCACCAUUUGAGAAAAGGGUACAAGCUCUGCUUUUUGACUAGAAACUUUCUGUCGACGUCUUCAUUUAAGACUAAAAAAAAAAUCAUCAUCAAAAUUUGAAUACUGUGUGUCACUGUCCUUGAAAAAUGUCCAAGUUAAACACUCUUCUAAGAAUUGCUUCAUUAACGAUGUUCUUGAUAUGGAAACUUAAUUUUUUUCACUUAUAUAAAAGCACAAAAUAUAAUAAAUAAUUAUGUCUAAAUAA